rnacentral:rRNA from 1 species
ACGAACGCUGGCGGCAUGCCUAACACAUGCAAGUCGAACGAGACCUUCGGGUCUAGUGGCGCACGGGUGCGUAACGCGUGGGAACCUGCCCUUAGGUUCGGAAUAACUCCCCGAAAGGGGUGCUAAUACCGGAUAAUGUCUUCGGACCAAAGAUUUAUCGCCUUUGGAUGGGCCCGCGUUGGAUUAGCUAGUUGGUAGGGUAAAAGCCUACCAAGGCGACGAUCCAUAGCUGGUCUGAGAGGAUGGUCAGCCACACUGGGACUGAGACACGGCCCAGACUCCUACGGGAGGCAGCAGUGGGGAAUAUUGGACAAUGGGCGAAAGCCUGAUCCAGCAAUGCCGCGUGAGUGAUGAAGGCCUUAGGGUUGUAAAGCUCUUUUACCCGGGAUGAUAAUGACAGUACCGGGAGAAUAAGCUCCGGCUAACUCCGUG